UAGGUAGCUAGGUAGGUUGAUAAACUUGCCAACAAACUCCGAUUGAUGAUGGAUCGAUUUGUUUUCCGCGAUAUUCUUGAUUCGCUUUGAGGUUUCAUUGAAGUUCCUACUUGGUUUGCAUGAUUCCUAGAUCUCGCCAGUGCAUUCUGUAUCGAUGGAGUUCGGUUGCCAGUGGAACUGUUCCAUUUUUUUUAUUCUCGCGGUGUUCGCAUGGCUGUGAGUGGGUUUGGUUUCGAUUUCCUCCAUGUUGUUGAUGUUGCGAGCUUUCUGAAUGUUACCUGUUUGUUUAAAUGCCUGGCCGAGCUGUUAAUUGGUGGUAUGAGAAUGCAUUUUGGGUUUUCUGUGGAGCUCUGGAUUUGGUUUUGGUUCCUGUGAGGUCUUUGAGUCAAUUUCGAGGAUGAUUUGCCUCCUUCUUGGAUUCCCGAAAGCUGCAGUUAGAAUGUUGAUGGCUUAAACCUUGAUGAUUACCGUUUUUCAUUCUUCCUGCUGUUCUAAUUGGUUGUUGAUCUGCUCUCCGAACAGUCAUGGUUUGGUUUGGAUUUCAACGUGGUUUUGUCUAUGCUACUGAAAACGUUGUGGGUUUAUGGGGAAUCAACUGUGUUGAUCCAUUUCUGUAGAUGGCUGAGGUAGUUGGUUGAAUUUUGUUAAUGUUAUGUUCUGGUGAACAUUUGUUGAAGUUUUAUGGUGGUUUUGCUGAGGUCUGAUCUUGUGGUUUGGUAGUGUGUAUCCAGAAGAGUGGUUUUGAGUUGUUUUCGAUUGGUUCAAUCGGUCGUCUUGUUGCUAGUCUCAAUUUCCUUCGCUGCUGUUUAGAGAUUUAUAAUUGACUUGAUAUGGAUCUGUUCUUCAAGUUGGGUUCGGGAUCUUGGAUAGAAUUGGGAUUGCUGAGCUGAUUUCAAAUUGUUUCGCUGCCUUGUCUUCCUCUGUUGCUGUGUUCUUGAUGGUGUUGUAUUGACUAUCAGUUGUGGAUUGAGAGGUUUGAACUGGUGAGGACGUCUCCUAGGAUAUAAUGGAAGGCCUACUGACGGAGUAGAUGAGGAGAUGGAAUGGACGCGUGACACUGUCCGGGCAUUUUAAGAGUGCAGAGCUUACUUGCCCUAUUGUGAGAGGUUCUUAUGUUUGAGGAUUCAUUGACUCUUUCUAUUAAACUCUUGUUUGAGAAGCUAUCAUUACAUGGAAUAAGCUAGAUCAUUUCGAUAGAAUUAUAUUACGGUUAUCUACAUUGCAGAUGUCGAGAGUGAUUGUAAAAAAAAAAUAAAAACUUGAGGGAUAAUCUAGGGACGUUUCAGUUGGUGUGGCAAGCACCAGAUGAUCGAACCUGUAUUUUGAUAAUAGCAAAAGGUUCAAAGUUAAGUUGUCUUGUUAUCUAACAAGUGUGAUUGAGCUUGCAGGAAAGUCUUAAGUGUUCUUAGGCAAAAGUCCUACUGGAUACUAGACAGGUGGAAACCCCUAUGGGGAGAUAACCCUAGGUUCUAGGGGGUGGUAACCCUAGAUUAUGGAAAACCCUAGAAGGGUAACCCUAGGGGAGUAACCCUAGGUCAACCCUAAGUGGAAAGUUUUUGUGGGUCAUGAACUUUGGGCGAAAUCCUAGAGUCGGGGACUCUAGGUGAAAAUUCUGGUGAUCGUAAAUCAGGUGAAAGUCUGGACGGGUCAUGAAAUGGAUGUUGAGCAUGAAGACCUGAAGUCUUGGGGCUGAUCAAAAGUCCAGUUGGUCUGGAGGACCGACCUAGCUGCGGCAGGCGUCACGAGGCACGGAGAAGAGGGAGAGGAAGAGAGGUGGCGGCCGGCGGCGUCAGCUGGAGCAGCAGCGUCCCCGGGAAGAAAAAAGGAGGGAAGUGGCAGUGUCGGCUCCGGCGAAGGGCGAGAGGAGGAAGAAGAGGAGGUGCGACCGGAGGCGAGGGAGAGUAGAGGAGGAGAAGAGGGUGGCCGGCAUCGACUCUGGUGACAGCGUCGGAGAGGGAGGAAGAAGAUGUUUCUGUUGGCGGCGGCGGAGAGAAAACGAAGCCCCUUCUCUCUUGCAUGCUACAGUGCCACCUUAAGCCCUCAAAACUCUCCACAAAGUGAAAAGACCAAAUUAUCCCUCCUUCUCCCUUUAAUUCUUUCACUACCCUCUACCCAUAUCCGUAUCAGGAUUCUUUAUAAUUUGCUUCAUCUAUAUUAAGCAUGUGAGUUUUAAUUAAAUCCUAUACAAGAAAAGAAAAAAAAAGACAAAGACAAAGAUAAAUAGUGAAUAAUCAAAAUAUCUGCACAUAUUUUAAUUAACGUAGUGAAUUCAAGUGAUUAUUUUAUUUGAAUGAAUCUAGUAGCUUGUUCUUUCGUUUUUAGUUUUACAAGGCCAAUUAUAAAUAUUGCUCUAGUUUUCUUCUGUGUGGACGAUUGUUGUAUUAGUUGUGCCUGGUUCAGUUUCAACUGAACCUAAAUAUAUAAAUUAAAAUGUUUUUAAUUAAAAUAUUUAAGUUUUUGUUGGUGUUUGAUCGUCGGUUGAUCAUGAGAAAUUAUGACUAGGAUAUGCAUAUGUUUGAGCCAUGACAGUAGAUACAUGUUAUGUAAGGUCAUUCAUUACUCAUAAAAAAAAUCCAAUUGUUUUAGUUUGACCAUUUAAUUCAAAAAAAAAAAUAUGGAAUCGUCACAUCAGCAGCUCCCCUAGAAUCGGUCUCACGAAUAUGGAAGGAGAUAAAUAUAGGUACACAGCUGAAAGCGCAUAGUCGGGACACUAACCCCAGAUAAUGACACCCCGAAGAUCGAACCCUCGACCUUUCGAUCAUGAAACUAUGCGUCCUCAGCUGUACUACGCCCUGAGGGCUUGACCAUUUAAUUUAAGUAUGUAUCUUCCAUAUGUUUACAGAUGCUCCUAGAUAUCAAUUAUUUCCUAAAUCAUUUGUGCAUUGAAUGUUUUUAAGUUGUAUGCAUGACAAAUAUAGUGUAUAUUACUAGAUGUAUUAUGGAGAGGGUCUUCGGCUUAAUUUGGUCGGUAUUAAUUAGUAAUCAAAUUAAACCACUAAGAGCGGUCUCAGGCAUUUAAUUUCCAAUUAAUUUAGUGCUUAACAAACUUUUAAAUGAGCUCAUUGAUGCUUGGUGCAUAUGCUCCGUUUGAUCAUUUAUUUGGAUAUAUGCAUCUAUACCGUUUAUAUGUCACAAUUUUUUUAAAAUUUAAGGGGCAUAAACAUCCAUUUAAUGUUGUAAGCAAAUGGUGAGGGCCCAUAAUUAGGGCAGAACCAACAUCCCCCGCCCCGCAAGGAAACUCAGAAGUCUCAGCACUCGGCAGUAGCCGUUUCUCAGCAACGGUCACCUGCAGCCUCGGCAACAGCGCAGCAGUCUCAGCAGUAGCCUCCGGAAUACAGCUAAUAUAGUUCUUAAACAGCGGCAAACUGAGCAUUGUUUCCUCUCGUUCACUCUGGCAACGAGGAUGCCGAGCGUUUGCCGGAAUGGAGGUUACGGCGAGUGCUUCUCCAUUAAAAGGCCGUAGCCACCAGAGGCUAGAAAGGCUGUUCCUACUGUCUUUCUACUUCUCUUGCGCUUCUGUGUCUCUCCCUCUCUGCCUCUCACUGUCACUAUUUUCGAGAUAGAGAGGUGAACAUACUUCUUCGUCCUAUCCGUGGAAAGCUUGGGCACUAGAACUCCUCUAAUUCAACUUGUCGUUCCAAGAAGCAAGCAUACUUCUUCCUUCUUGGCAUUGAGUGGACCCUUGGAUGAUUGUUUGAAGCUGUUGAGAGGCCAGUGGGAUGAGCAAAAGCUGGUCGGUCUCCUCACCUCAAAAAUCUGUCAUGGGGACGACACAACUGCUGUUCUAAAGGUCUAUGAUGCUGUCGGUGCUUGUUUUCUUCAGAGACUCAUCUUAACUGGUAUGGGAAAGGGAUCUGGUGGGUUUGGUAGCGCCGAGGACAAAGAGCCAUAUUUGAGGCUCUCCAUCACCCUUCUUACUGCAUUGUGUCAGGUGCCAGAAAUUGCUUCAUAUGAGGAAAUGGUCUCUAAAGUUCCUCUUGUAGCUGAAAUAGUUACAAAAUUGUCUGACCCUUGUCGCUGUUGCUUCGGAUAGUGGAAGAGCAAAGUUUUAUCAACCUGGAGUCAAUUACCUGUUGCUCUUGCUUUGGAUGCAGAAUGGUUGAGUCUCUCUAUUGAUAUCAAUAGCCUGCUCCUUUGCUUGGGGGAGGCAUGUAGUGCAAAAGAAAAGAUGGCAGUUGCAAAGGUAUAAAUUUCAGUAUAUCCUCGUAAUUUAAUGUUCCAUAAGCAUAGUAAUCCAUUGAAUACACGCGUGUGUGGCACGCUUACGACUAAAGAUGUUUGCCAAUCAACACAGACCAUGUUCCAUGUAGAAACUCUACUCUGAUUGUGAAUUUUAAACUCACAAGAUCUAGUGAAUUUUUUUUUUUUAAAAAAAUCAUAUAUGCAAGUGCCAAUAUAUUAGUGAUAGCAAACCAGCAUCAUAGCUAUCGACUUCAAUUUAACUCACUCCAAGAAGUCAUGUUUCAUAUUUUCCUUGUAUAUUGACUGUAACUCAGUGCUUCUACCAAACAUAAUUAAUUUAUAUUUCAGUGUUUAUAAGACUACAUACUAUUAGCUUAAAAAAUAUGACUUAGUAGACCUGGGAGGAGCAGUAGAAGAUUUACUAUCUGCAAUAGAAAGAGAAUACUUGAAAUACAAAAGAAGAGAAAGCUAACACCAUAUAUUGAAAGCUUCCUAAAUGAAUAAAUUGUUGCAGCUAACAUAAGCAACUCGAACCAGAGCACCAGAAAUGUAAUAUGUAAUACAUUUACAAUGUACCUCUGUCUGGUAGCAUCACUAUUGCUAGAUCAGCAUCCACAAGGGCUUUAACAACUUCACAGUUUGUGCCCGUCACAGCCAUAUGCCCCUUCUUAUCUGUCCUCCUGGCAAGAUGCGGAUCCUUUCCAAGCAAUGCCUCUACAAUUAUUAGUUUUAUUUAAAGUUUUCAUUAGAUUAAUAUUAAAAUUGUAGACAAAUUAUUAUUGCUCAACUAAUGCAUUGGUAGCAGAGUUUAGAGUGCCAAACAUGUAGAAUUUGAAGUGUAAAAACAAAUUGUAUCGACACUUUAGAAUAAUAAGCUCAAUACUCAUCUACAUCAUAUAAGGCAGUAAAUAAACAAGAGUAUCAACUUAUUUCAUUCAUAUUUCAUCUAUUUAUGGCAUAAUUAACACACUAUUUAUAGGAUGCAACACCACUCAUUUGACAUUGGAGCAAACCAUUGCAUAUUGAUCUAGCAAAUGUUGAAGGUACAUAGUAGUCCAAGGAAGGAUUGGUAUCACUAUCGACUGAAUUUUAGACCACAAAUAAUAACACAAUUACAAAGAAAAGUACUAGAAUUUAAUGAUCUCUUAGUGUCGCCGGCGAUGAAGAGACUAGAUCUGUGCCGGCGACACUGAGCAGAGGAGAUGAGGGUCGGUGUCGGCAGAGGAAAUCGCGUGAGGAAGAGAUCUUCUUUCCUUGGCUCUCGUCGGCCGGCGAGGAUGGAUUGGCCAAGAGGAGGAGCCGGCGGUGCUCUCGUGGCGGUCGGCUGGCGACGCUAGGCAAAGGAAGUCGGCGUUGGUUGUGGUGGCCGGUGGCUAGCUAGGCCACGAGCAUAAAGAGGGUAGAAUCGGCAGAGGCUCGGACUCCUUGGCAGAUCACCUUGUACACGAGGGAGAAGGCGGUUUUUGUGGCGCCGGUUGGGAAGGGCGGUUAGGUCUCGGCGAAGAUGAAGAAGAGGGCGCGUCGGGGAACGGCUCGGGCACACGGGAGAAAAAAAAAAAGAAAACGGAGAAGAAUAAAAAAAAGAGAAAAACAAAAGAAAAUAAAACAUUUUCUCGCUUAAAUUGGGUACUAAACAGGUUUCCCCGAGGCUCCGUUUUAUCCCUGUAAACUCGUGCAUACGAGCUCCGAAAAUUUUUUAAAAAUUCCGAAAAAUUCUCUUAAGAUGAUAUGCCCAUUUUUGGUAUUUUACAAAAGUUUUCAUUAGAUUAAUAUUAAAAUUUUAGACAAAUUAUUAUUGCUCAACUAAUGCAUUGGUAGCAGAGUUUAGAGUGCCAAACAUGUAGAAUUUGAAGAGUAAAAACAAAUUGUAUCGACACUUUAGAAUAAUGAGCUCAAUACUCAUCUACAUCAUAUAAGGCAGUAAAUAAACAAGAGUAUCAACUUAUUUCAUUCAUAUUUCAUCUAUUUAUGGCAUAAUUAACACACUAUUUAUAGGAUGCAACACCACUCAUUUGACAUUGGAGCAAACCAUUGCAUAUUUGAUCUAGCAAAUGUUGAAGGUACAUAGUAGUCCAAGGAAGGAUUGGUAUCACUAUUGACUGAAUUUUAGACCACAAAUGAUAACACAAGUACAAAGAAAAGUACUAGAAACAUGCUUUCACCUUUGUUGAUCUCUUAGUGUUUCAAAACAUAAGAAGGAGCUAGGACAAUGAUAUACAAAACUUUGAGCUUUAUGAGGCAUUUUAAAAACAUUGUAGAAUUUAAUGAUCUUUUACUUACCGUCCUUUGAAGUCCAACAGCUAUUCUCUUGCAGCUUGGUUAGGAUUAGGAUUGGUAAUUCUUUUAAGUUCACUCUUGCAGAUUGAUUUCUUUGCUCCUUUAUUUGAUUUUUGACUCAUCAGAACAGAUUUAGGAGUUGGCGAAUCAAUUUCUAAUUUCUCACAUUUCUUACUGGGAAAUUUCUGAAUAACAAUAGGUUUUGUUAAGAGGGAUUUGGAUAGGACGCCCAUCAUUGCUUCCGUCGGCUAGUUGUGGUGUAGUCUUUUGUGUUAGUACUGUCUUUUUCUUGGAGUAGGUCUCGGUGCGUUCUGGAAUAUGCUUUUGAUAUGCAAUGUGGUGAUGUUUUUUCUGGAUUCUUGAACAGAUGUUGGGUUUUCUGAGUUUGUUCUUGAUGAACAUCUAGAUGAUGGUAUUGGAUUUCUGCAAUUGUAAUGAUAUAUGCUUUGAUGAUGGAGUGGGAGUUUGAACAGGUGUUGAGUUUUUCUGCAUUUGUGUUGAUGAACGAUCUGGAGAAGGAGUUGAUAGUGAAAUGGGUGUGGAGUUUUCUGCAUUUAUGUUGAUGAACAAUCGGAUGAUGUUGUGGGUUUGUGAACAGGUGUUAGGAUUCGGUUUUGGUUUUUUUUGUGUGCUUGGUUGUGGUUUUGGUAUUUAUGUUAUGAGAGCAUCUCGGGUUUGAUAGCAAAUGAAGAUGGUGAGGAUUUGGAAUAGUUUUGGGUUUGAAUUGUGAUUUAUUUGUAAGGAUCGGAAUUUGCAUUAUUUUAGUAAAUGUUUUUUUUUUACUUACCUACUGAUGCUUUGAUUGUAUAUGUAUGAUUAGCAAUACCAAAUAGAUCACCUUAUGUUAGUAGAAGAACUAUGCAUGAUUACUUGUGUGUUUACAUAUGAUUAAAUCGAGUUUCUCUAUUUAUCUAACUAAUUAUAGACAUGGGCAUGAGCGGUGAUAGUAUGGGAUGGCUGUCAUGGGGAGGACCCUUUCAAACAUGAAUGAUAAAGAAAUGUAGAAUGGCUACGGAUGGACAAUUUAUAUUCUCCUAAGAGAUCUAAGAGACUGUCGCUGUUGAUGCAAGUCUUGAAGAAUUGAAACACCGAGCUCCUCAGUCUCUAACACUGUCCUUCUGCCCUCCUUUAUUCUUUCAAUAGAAUGGUUGAGUCUCUCUAUUGACGUCAAUAGCCUGCUCCUUUGCUCAGUGGAGGCAUGUAGUGCAAAAGAAAAGAUGGCAGUAGCAAAGCUUGGUGCUUGCGUUGUUGUUGCACAAGGUGCAAUGCAAAAUGACAUAUCGAGAGAGUUUGGACAUUGAAUGCCGACUCCAUGUAUUUAUGGGCAACAUGUAUUGAAGACGAAAAAGCAUGUUCUUAUGAGAUGUAUUUACCAGAUGAAUUUUUAUUAUUUCUUCCAUUGAAGAAGACAAACUAUAUCUUAAGAGUUUUUCCAGACCAAGUUUCAUCAUGUUGAUGUGACCAGCUUCAUUUCACCUGAAUACUUUGGCAAGUGACAACACUGGUCUCAUCUCUAGUUUAAUCCCA